UGGGGAAUUUUGGACAAUGGGCGCAAGCCUGAUCCAGCCAUGCCGCGUGCAGGAUGAAGGCCUUCGGGUUGUAAACUGCUUUUGUACGGAACGAAAAGGUGCCUUCUAAUAAAGGGCGCUAAUGACGGUACCGUAAGAAUAAGCACCGGCUAACUACGUGCCAGCAGCCGCGGUAAUACGUAGGGUGCGAGCGUUAAUCGGAAUUACUGGGCGUAAAGCGUGCGCAGGCGGUUUUGUAAGACAGAGGUGAAAUCCCCGGGCUCAACCUGGGAACUGCCUGUGUGACUGAAAGGCUGGAGUGCGGCAGAGGGGGAUGGAAUUCCGCGUGUAGCAGUGAAAUGCGUAGAUAUGCGGACGAACACCGAUGGCGAAGGCAAGCCCCUGGGCCUGCACUGACGCUCAUGCACGAAAGCGUGGGGAGCAAACA
rnacentral:rRNA from 1 species